AAUGAAUUUUAUAUGGAGUAUGGUCCAGAGCUAGAAGAGUCAUCUCUAUUAACUCCAUGUAAUCAUCUCUGGGCUGCUUAUUCCUUCCUAAGACAACUAAUAAAGCAUUUACUGCAGUGAGCUUUAAAUUUUCACUGCCAGGAGCUUUUUCUAAUGGUUGAUAGUUUUCUUUGUGUAUCAAGGGCCAUGCUACCUUGAAUCUUUUGAAUAAAGGAAUGUCAAGACUACUAGAUGGUCCGAAACAGAGAGUAAAUACCUUACUGAGAACAAUCUCCAAAAUGUGCUGCCUGUAUGGUAGCCAUAAUAAUUCUUCUCCAAUUUUAUGUUCCAGCAUAACACAAACUCCAUUUUUAAACCCUGUAUUAACAGAUGUAGUGUCACAACACAUGCCGACUAUUUUGUUCUCCAAACCCCAUUCACUUAGUACAUUAUAAACUGCAUUUGCACCAGUACCCCUUACGAGUUUUGGCACUCCAAGCAAUUUCUCCUUACCAUCUGCAGAUACUAAUACGGGCAAUCGAUCUACUUUAUUAGUGCCCAAAAUAUCAGGAAGAAUCUUCCCGUCCCAAUGAACAAUAACUGGAUCGUCAAAAGAAACACAUUGCUUUAUUUCUUCAAACACAGCUUUUCUUCCUUCUUUCCUUUUGCGUUGAAUAGUACUUCGUGAUAAUGGCAAGGAACUAGGGUCAUGCCCCAAUGCCGAUGCAAUAGGGACCAUUAAUCUUAAGGCUUCCCUAUCAGAAACCUUAUUGCGAUCUAAUGCGCUUGUGACAUGUUUAGAAAAUAAAGAUUUCUUUGCAAUUGGUUCAUUCUGUGAGUCUUUUUGGGAUUCCCUUCUUUUAAAAGAAGAUGGUGGCUUAUACAUAUACAUCUCUUCUGAUUUAUCUAUGGCUGAAUCAGAUUUUUCUCUUGAUUCAUCAUCUGAAUUUGAAAUAGUCACAGUUGGAGAUAUCAGGGAAGAGAACCCUGGCUCAUUCCCUUUUUCAAGUCUCUUUUGUUCUUUCAUUUUUCUUUGAAAUUUCCUUUCUUGUUUCAUGUUGUAUUUCAUGUCUUCUGAUGAAAUAAUCAUAUUUCUUUCCGUCCUCUGAUCAAUUAAAAAUUCUCUGUCUUCAUCUACUUUGCAUAUAGUAAUUGCAUCAUUGUGAGCAAUGUCAAAUAACAUAUCUAGCUGCUCUUGAAAUAGUGUUUCACGUUUCUUUUGGGUAUCAGAGAUUCUUCCUUUAUUUUUUUUUAACAGAAGCCAUUCAGAGUGUAAUUUUUCAAGCUUAUCAAUACAAUGUUUUACAAGUCUAAUCGGGAUAGCUGUUUUUUGCCACACUAAAAUUAAUUCUUCUACAGUGCUGUGACUGGCAUUUCGAACUGAUUUUUUCCUUUGGAGAAAAAAAUGGAAUCUAAGAAGGACUUGCUUUAUAGUUGGUAACUGAUUAAAUCGAGAUAUUGGUUCUAGAUCUUUGAUACCUAUCAAGAAUAUAGUGUCCGCUUGACGUGUUGAUGAUAAAGCCAUAUUUUCACAAAAAAGUCCUAAACAAUGUCUGGUAUAAAAACAGUCCUCACAAACAACUAUUGAUAGUUAUAUAUUUUCAAGACAUUUUUCUUGGUAUUUCUUUCACAAAAACAGCAUCUGAAAGAAAACAAGAAUACAGAAAUCAAUAUUUAAGAAAUAAGGAAAUAACAAAAUUUUUAAAAAUUUGACGAUGUUGAGCACUGCCAUCUACUCAACCUAGGACAUUGAAUUUUUGGCUCUUUACUACUAUCAACGAAGGUAAAAAAAAUAGUGGGUGCCCUGGGGUAUAGGGUAAAUUUGAAAUUUUUGGGCCACCCUAAUGACUAGACAUCAAAUAAGCACCCUGACUGGUCUACUGACAGGACAUGGUCACCUGCUUAAACAUCUUAACACAAUGGGGGUAUCGGAAUCACCAUUGUGUAGGAAGUAUGGAGUAGAAGAGGAAGACUCAUUUCACAUCAUGUGCGAAUGUGAAGCCUUGUUCACAUUAAGAUCAAACUACUUGAGUAAAACUUUUUCCGAAAAAGAAGAUAUUAAAAACCUAAAACCCAGAGAGAUACUUAAUUUCGCCAGAAAGACAGGACUCUUUAGUCAUCUAUAGAGGUGACUUUAUGGUUGGUAAUAUAUUCACACUUCGGUGAUAACACUUAGGUGGGUUAACCGAAUUAAGACAAUUCGGUAUGAGGUGCGCACAAUGGACCAACAGGUCUGAGCGCAUGGGCAUUAUGUCCACCUCAAUAAUAACAAAAACUAAAACUACUGAGCAUCGCGAUGGAAAAUGUGCUGCAUAUUUCUGAAAUGGCAUUUUCAAAUUAUUCCAUCAUUGGGAAAAAUGAUCAAUUUGAAUGGUGAUCUAAAAUUUUCUUGAAUCAUUUUAAAUUGUUUUUAAACAUAAACAUAACCCAAUCAUACACAAUAAGUGAUUAAUUAUCAUUUAUUUGUGAAAACUUAAGGCUGGCUAAAAAAUUUUCCUUUUAACGUUAAAGAAUCUAUGUCCUAAUUAUAUUUUUAUCUACAAUGGUUAUUUACGAUUUAUCGGUCGUAUUGUACGGACGUGUUUAUCUCGCGUACGUUUGUAGUUACCCGCCUAUUUUUAGAGUACUAUUCCGUUAUACAUAGUUUUUUUUUAGUUUUGAAUCCAUAGUUCCGCCUUUUUGGCACAUUUACUGUGUCCGCCGGGGCUCUGGAUGCAAUACAGACCUAAUCCGGGUGGAAGUGAUCAGCACCACUCUCCAUUGCGCCGUAGAAGCACUCUGCAAUCUCCCAACCCACAAAUCUCCAUGGAUAAUUCGCGUUAUUCUGCAUGGAUUGUAGCUCCCCUGAAGUCAUAGUUGUGACGUCACUCGGUUCGCCAACUUCAAACAUAAACUCGCUCUAUGUCGAUUCUCCUAAUAUUUCAACAGGCAGGCAACCCAAUGUUCCUGAAUGCUUUCCACUACACUACUCUGGUUCCCUUAAUGUAUUUGUUUCUGCAUCUGGUGAUAAUAACUUAGGUAAUUUUCACCCAGUUGUUGUAUUUAUAUAUUGAACAAUCUUUUUGUUCUAACUUAUAUUUUUUUGUAGUUCAAUAAUAACGCAAAAUGUAGUUAAUAAAGAUAUAAUCAAUCAAAAUAAAAACAUAUAAAAUAUUGAUACACUUAAAAACGGAUAAAUAAAUAAUACACAAAAUAAAAACUUAAAGUCACAAACGUACCACACGGAAAGAGAUUACCUUCGGUACUCUCGAGGUCUUCUCUUUCUUCCUUUUUAAUUCAUUCCGUUUCAUCUUAUAUACUAAAAUAUUUUGUUUGUCUUUUUAUAAAAUUCAUAUAGUAAUCAUUUUCAAAAAGGUUUAUAAAUAUUUACUUCCUGAUCUAGUAACAAUAAUUCGGGGAAUUACAAUUAAUCCAAACAUUACAAAAGUGUUCUACUUCUAGGUUUACAAAUAAUAGACUAUAUUAUAUUUUAGUAAUAAUAGAUCAAGAGAUUCAUAAUGCCAUAAUUUUCAAAAAUGUUUAUAAAUAUUUACUUCUUGGUUUAGUAACAAUAAUUUGGGGAAUUACAAUUAAUCUAAACAUUACAUAAGUGUUCUACUUCUAGGUUUACAAAUAAUAGACUAUAUUAUAUUUUUGUAAUAAUAGAUUAAGAAAUUCAUAGUUAAACCAAACAUUACAAAAAUUCUUUGUUUUCAGUUUUAUAAAAUAAUGACCUAUAUUACACAGUUAAGCUGAGUAAAACUUUUUCCAAACUUUUUCCUGGUAUUUUGAGCAUAAACCCUAUCGGUUCUAAGCGUGUGAAAAUCACAUUUGAGUCGGUUAAUAACGCUAACAAUUGUCUCACUUCUCCUUCUCUUUCUGAACACGGCUACUCUGCGAAUAUUCCUAGUACUUUACUAUAUAGUAUUGGAAUAAUACGUCUUAAUAAAAGUAUCUCUGAAGAAGACUUUUGGGAAGGUUAUGAAUGUUCAAUCAAAGUUGUUUCAUUCAUACGCAUUAAUAUAAAAAAGGAUAACAUCCUCGUUUCUUCAAAUUAGUUGAACUUAAAUUUUUGUCAGCAACUCUUCCUCAAAAAUUAUCAAUAUACAAAGUUAUUUUUGAUGUCUCUCCGAGUAUUCGUUCUCCUGUCCAAUUUCGCAAGUGUUUACGUUUUGGUCACACCCUUAAAUUCUGUCGCAGUAAGGAGCGCUGCAGUCACUGCGGUCUCUUUGACCACACUGAAUCUAAUUGUAAUGUCAAGUUAACCACACCUCCGUGCUUUUUUUGUAAACUGAACCACCUUGCGACGGAUAGAUCUUGCAGCGAAUGGUCCGUGCAAAAGGACAUUAAAAAAAUAAUGACCUCAAACAAUGUCUCGUUUUCUGAAGCCUCCUCGAUCAAACGUUCCAGUUUAGUUAAAAGCUUUUAUCUUUUCUGAUGUUGCUAAAAAUACAAAUAUAUCUAGUGUCGAAGUCGUAGCUUCUCCUUCCUUUCCUUCCCUUAGUCAUUCUACUAAUACAUAUACAAAUAAACAAAAGAAGAAAAAAAGUAAUAAAACUCAAGUCCCUUCCUCCCAUUUUCCUCCUUUUGCAUUAUUACAAUUGUUUUUCACUGCGUGCCAGGCCACGCCAGUAUAUUAGGUAACGAAACAGCUGACCGUCUUGCUACUUCUACUUCCCCCUUCUUUACUUCUUCAAGACAUAAUAUUCCCGCUUCUGACUUUCUCCGCCUCUUUCGACAUACAGUUCUUCAAGCCUGGCAGGGCAGUUGGGCUACAAUAAAAUUGAAAAUGAUAUGUUGGUACCGCUCGAUUUCUCCAUCCAUUAUACAUUCUCCAUGGUUUCAUAAUCUUGACUUAUCCAGAAAUAUAAUUUCUCAGUACUCAAGACUUAGGUUAGGUCAUAAUCUUCUGCCUUACCAUGCAUUUCAUCUUUCCUUAAAUUCCGUUCCCUUCUGUCCCAUACAUGAUAGUGAAGCUCUAUGCGAUUUUUCUCAUCAUCUCUUUGAUUGUCCUGCCCUAAUUAACAGCAGAAAUAAACUAUUGAGCCUCUUAGCCUCCAACAAUAUUAAUCCCCCUUCCGUAGCUAAUACUCUUAAUUCCCGUUCUUCCUUUAUUAUUAUUUCAAUCAUAUCUUUCUUGAGGAGUUCCGGCUUUGUCAUUUAAUCUCUCACUAU